rnacentral:rRNA from 1 species
GACGAACGCUGGCGGCGUGCUUAACACAUGCAAGUCGAACGGAAAGGCCCUGCUUUUGCGGGGUGCUCGAGUGGCGAACGGGUGAGUAACACGUGAGUAACCUGCCCUUGACUUUGGGAUAACUUCAGGAAACUGGGGCUAAUACCGGCUAGGAGCUCCUGCUGCAUGGUGGGGGUUGGAAAGUUUCGGCGGUUGGGGAUGGACGCGCGGCUUAUCAGCUUGUUGGUGGGGUAGUGGCUUACCAAGGCUUUGACGGGUAGCCGGCCUGAGAGGGUGACCGGCCACAUUGGGACUGAGGUACGGCGCAGAGGCCUACGGGAGGCAGCAGUGGGGAAUAUUGCACAAUGGGCGGAAGCCUGAUGCAGCAACGCCGCGUGCGGGAUGACGGCCUUCGGGGUGUAAACCGCUUUCGCCUGUGACGAAGCGUGAGUGACGGUAAUGGGUAAAGAAGCACCGGCUAACUACGUG